CUGACCAUAUAACUGAGAUUCCAUUCCUGCGAGUUCUCUGGGGAAACGCCAAGUUGGAUUUCCACAAAGACCUGUUUAUCAAUCUGUUGCUGCUCCAUUCCCAGAUCUAGAUCCUGAGGUGACCCAACUUCAUCCUCUUAUUUAAAAAAAUUUUUUUUUUAAUUUAUUUGAAUGACAGAAUUAGAGAAUGAUCCUCCAUCUGCCAGUUCUCUCCCCAUGUUGCCACCACAGUCAGGGCAGGUCAGCAGAAAGCCAGGAGCUUCCUCCAUGUCUCUCACAUGUACAGGGGCGCAGGGACUUGGGCCAUCCUCUGCUGCUUUCUCAGGCACAUUAGCAGGGAGCUGCAAGUGCCUCAGGGUGUGGGAUCGCACAUUGCACCAUGAUGCCGGCCCACAUCCAGCUUUUCUAGAGCGUGUCUUCGUGUUUCAGUUGUUCUGGGCAUAGCACUGUGGGUCCUGUUGCUUUUCCCAUCUGAUUAGAGUCCCUUUUCUUCCUGUUCGGCAGAGUAAUGAAACCUUAGGGCCGCACGAUUCUUUGACCCUCUGCUCUGUUGUGACUGUUCCCCUUGGUGUGACCUUUGUACAAACAGAGCCUCACCCUCUGAGUCUGUGCUUUCUGUUUUGGGUUCUGCAGAUGUCGUUUAGAGAAUUUAAGGGCGAAAACACAGCCAGCAGUGAUUUAAAUCCUUAACGUUUCUCCUGCUCUUCAUUACUCCUGAUGUACCAGACUUCCUGUGGGCAGGAUUUCACUUUAGCCUGAAGAAUUCCAUUCACUUGGUGCUAUUUUGAUGGCAAGUGGUCUUCUGAUGACUGCUCUUAGUAUUCCUUCUUCUCCACCACCCUUCCUUUUUCUGCAUAGGGGGCUGAGAUCCUUCAGGGUGUCUUGGUUCCCUCAAGAAUCCUGGGAGAUCUUUUCUUUCUGCACUUGGAGGACAGGGUUCUAGUAUCCUGUGGACUUUGUGUUUUCUGAUGAGAAGUCAAACCCUCUCAUGUGGGUAUUCCCUUGUUGGGAGUGUGCCAUUGGCUCUGAUUUCAAGAUUCCCCCCCCCCUUUUUUUUUGUGGAUUGUUCACAUGUCCCUGUAAUGCUUCUGAGCUACUUGGAUUGUAUUCCUAAAAGGAUGAUCUUCCUGGCCAUUGGAUUCUUUAUAGAUUUUGUUGUUCACUGCUCCCCCAUUUCUCCCCCCCCCCCCCAUUUCAGGCUCCCAAACAUUAGGACUCUUGCUCUGGUUCACACAUCUCUGAGGCUCCAUUCAUUUAGCUUCCAGCUUCUUCCCUUCUCUUUGUUCUUCAACUUGUACCUUUCUGUUGAUUGGCAUGUAAUCUGAUCCUUCCUCUUUUUCUACACUCUGGCCCUGAUUCAAUCCAUUGCAUUUUUUUUUGACAGGCAGAGUAGACAGUGAGAGAAAGAGACAGAGAGAAAGGUCUUCCAUUUGCCCUUGGUUCACCCUCCAAUGGCUGCCAUGGCUGGCGCCCUACGCAUCGUGGUGAUCCAAAUCCAGGAGCUAGGUGCUUCUCCUAGUCUCCCAUUGGGUGCAGGGCCCAAGGACCUGGGCCAUCCUACACUGCACUUCCGGGCCAUAGAAGAGAGCUGGCCUGGAAGAGUGGCAACUGGGACAGAAUCAGGCACCCCGACUGUGACUAGAACCCGGUGUGCCAGCACCGCAAAGUGGAGGAUUAGCCUGUUGAGCCACGGCGCCAUCCCAUCCAUUGCAGUUUGAUAGCUCUCUGAUGUGCACAGUUCUCCUGACAUUUGCAAGUGCCGCUCUUCCAUGUUCUUCUCAGUGGUGUUUACCCUCGUGCCGUGGUCCAGAUCCACCGACAAGAAUACCUGUGAGCUUCCAGCUACUGUGACUGCUGGGAGGCUGCAGGUCAUGGUGCAACUGCCAGGGUCCCUGACACCCUUGUGGAAGACCUGGAUUCAGUUCCUGGGUCCUGGAAUCACUCUGCCCCAUCUCUUCCUGAGUGCCUUGAAACCAUCAGAAGACACAGCCGCUAUUCUGCCUACACUACAUCUCAAGACCAUAGGUUUGGUUCGUGAGCUGUGAAGAAUCAGUCCCAUGCCAGUGUGGAAAGAGAAAGCCCUAUUUUCUGAUUUGUCACCUGUGAGGACCCUCCUCUGAGGACACUAGCACUCAUGUCUCCUUAACUCUACUGGAUACUUGGAACCAAAGCUGGGAACUGAGAACUGAUCCACGUCUUCCAUGUGGCUGGAAAGCACCCAACUUCUUGAGCCAUCACCACUGUCUCCCAGGAUGCACAUGGGCGGGAACUAGAGACAGAGAGAAAUGUGGCCUCUUAGACAAGGAAGGAAGAAGGCUGCUCUGGGAUGACCCAGGCAGAGAGUGGAAGCAUGCACUGCAAAGCAAGCAAGCCAAGGACUGCAGCAACUGCCAGAAGCUAGGAAGAGACCAUGAAGGGUCCUAGCCUGGAGCAUGCAGAUAGAGCAGAGGGCAGGAGGCUCCUGACCUCAGGCUCUGCCCUCCAGAACCAUGGUCCAGCUUCCAGUUUUAAUGCCACACAGAUUGCAAUAAAGAGGUAUGGUGACUAGAAAACUAA